rnacentral:rRNA from 1 species
UAAUACGUAGGUGGCGAGCGUUAUUCGGAUUCAUUGGGCGUAAAGAGUCCGCAGGGGGUUUGGUAAGUUUGAUGUGAAAUGCCAGGGCUCAACCUUGGACAUGCAUUGAAACCUGCCAGACUAGAGUGCAGGAGAGGAGAGUGGAAUACCAGGUGUAGCGGUGGAAUGCGUAGAUAUCUGGUAGAACACCGAUGGCGAAGGCAGCUCUCUGGACUGCUACUGACCCUCAUGGACGAAAGCCGGGGGAGCGAACAGGAUUAGAUACCCUGGUAGUCCCGGCCGUAAACGUUGUACACUAGGUGUUGGGGGAUUUGACCCCCUCAGCGCCCCAGCUAACGCGAUAAGUGUACCGCCUGGGGAGUACGGCGGCAACGCUA